UCACGACAGAAGAGCCGUCGAGACCCGACAAGAGCGGUUUUGGAAAUUGUACACGUGAAAACACGAGUUUAACACCACACUGUACAUACCCCACCGUCCUGUGUCCUCUGUGUUGGACAUGAGAUCUGCCAUUGAAAAGCUCAAACUAAGAGAAGUGUUUCCAGAAUGUCCAUGGCAGAGGCCACAGACAGAGCUUCACUGAGUGUGGAUACAAACCCAUAGUCGGAUCUAAACUAAG